rnacentral:rRNA from 1 species
AAAGACCUCAAAUCAGGU